rnacentral:rRNA from 1 species
CAGUCGCCGCGGUAAUACAGAGGGUGCAAGCGUUAAUCGGAAUUACUGGGCGUAAAGCGCGCGUAGGUGGUUCGCCAAGUUGAAUGUGAAAUCCCCGGGCUCAACCUGGGAACUGCAUCCAAAACUGGCGAGCUAGAGUAUGGUAGAGGGUGGUGGAAUUUCCUGUGUAGCGGUGAAAUGCGUAGAUAUAGGAAGGAACACCAGUGGCGAAGGCGACCACCUGGACUGAUACUGACACUGAGGUGCGAAAGCGUGGGGAGCAAACAGGAUUAGAUACCCGCGUAGUCCCUGUCUCUUAUAC